AGUCCAUCCAGUGCCAAGAGGAGGAGGGCUUCUACCUCUCCCCUCCCUCUUCCCUGGAGGCUUGUCCACCCUGGGCACCUCCUCGUGGCCAGGACACUCCAAGGGCACCUACUCCACGGCCGCUCUGGGGCACAGGCGCAGACCAGGUCCUUCCAGGGACUCAGUCUGCUUGUCCUAAUCACUCGGAUGUGUUGGGAGAGGUGU